UCCUACGGGAGGCAGCAGUGGGGAAUAUUGCACAAUGGGCGCAAGCCUGAUGCAGCCAUGCCGCGUGUAUGAAGAAGGCCUUCGGGUUGUAAAGUACUUUCAGUCGUGAGGAAGGUGGUGUAGUUAAUAGCGGCAUUAUUUGACGUUAGCGACAGAAGAAGCACCGGCUAACUCCGUGCCAGCAGCCGCGGUAAUACGGAGGGUGCGAGCGUUAAUCGGAAUUACUGGGCGUAAAGCGCAUGCAGGUGGUUUGUUAAGUCAGAUGUGAAAGCCCGGGGCUCAACCUCGGAAUAGCAUUUGAAAGUGGCAGACUAGAGUACUGUAGAGGGGGGUAGAAUUUCAGGUGUAGCGGUGAAAUGCGUAGAGAUCUGAAGGAAUACCGGUGGCGAAGGCGGCCCCCUGGACAGAUACUGACACUCAGAUGCGAAAGUGUGGGGAGCAAACAGGAUUAGAUACCCUGGUAGUCCACGCCGUAAACGAUGUCUACUUGGAGGUUGUGGGCCUUUAGCCGGGCUUAAAACGGCUCGCGCGUUAAGGAUUUCCCCCCCUGGGAAUUUAC
rnacentral:rRNA from 1 species